rnacentral:rRNA from 1 species
GAUCCAGACUCCUACGGGAGGCAGCAGUGGGGAAUAUUGCACAAUGGGCGAAAGCCUGAUGCAGCAACGCCGCGUGAAGGAAGACGGUUUUCGGAUUGUAAACUUCUGUUCUUAGUGAAGAAUAAUGACGGUAACUAAGGAGCAAGCCACAGCUAACUACGUGCCAGCAGCCGCGGUAAUACGUAGGUGGCAAGCGUUGUCCGGAAUUACUGGGUGUAAAGGGAGCGUAGGCGGGAAGCCAAGUCUGGAGUGAAAUGCCGGGGCUUAACCCCGGAACUGCUUUGGAAACUGUGCAGCUAGAGUGCAGGAGAGGUAAGCGGAAUUCCUAGUGUAGCGGUGAAAUGCGUAGAUAUUAGGAGGAACACCAGUGGCGAAGGCGGCUUACUGGACUGUAACUGACGUUGAGGCUCGAAAGCGUGGGGAGCAAACAGGAUUAGAUACCCUAGUAUU